rnacentral:rRNA from 2 species
GACGAACCGUGCAAACGUUGUUCGGAUUCACUGGGCUUAAAGGGCGCGUAGGCGGUACGCCAAGUCUGGGGUGAAAUCUUUCGGCUCAACCGGAAAAUUGCCUGGGAUACUGGCGUGCUCGAGGGAGGUAGGGGCAGCGGGAACUGCCGGUGGAGCGGUGAAAUGCGUUGAUAUCGGCAGGAACGCCGGUGGCGAAAGCGCGUUGCUGGACCUCUUCUGACGCUGAGGCGCGAAAGCUAGGGGAGCAAACGGG